AAAGCUCAGCUAUCCUCUGUGUGUGUGAGAGAGAGAGAAAAAAAAUGAGCAAGAGCGAACAGGCAUAAUGCUGGACAGGCCUCAUAAAUUGCCUCUAUCCAAUUAAAAGCGAGAUCAUACAUUACUGUGCAGCAGCUCAGCCAAUCGGGAGCCCCUGCUGGUGAGUACAGCAGUAAAAUAUUGAAGGGCUGAGUGAGAAGAGGAAAGAUCUUGCAUGUAUGUUCUCCUCUCCUUCUGCAUCAGCUGAUCUUCUCUCUGUCAGUUUAGUGUGAAUGACACUGGACAUCAGAUGCCAAAGUGUUUUCUCUAAAGGCACAGCAGGAGAGAACAUUUAAGGCAAUAUAGUGUUUUUCUGAGGCUUUUGGCUUGACACCUCUAUAAGUUUCUCUUCGGGACAUUUGGCACAUAUGGUUCCUGCACUUAUACAAAAGCGAUACAAGACAACACAUCUGAUACAGGUACUGAAGUUUUGUUUACUGAACACAUACUGGAGUUUGAGAUUAGAUUGCUCAGAGCAGAAUCUCUCAGCCUCACAGCUUCGCUUAAACGUGAGAUUUUUUUUCAGGAAUGGAAAUCCAACCCUUGUCAUGACAAAACAAUGCAGUUUUGCGAUGGAGAUUUGUUCAGCCAGACGGCGCCAUGAUGGGUGUGCUGGAGUGUGAUAAUUCAAGAGCUGCAGGGGAGGACUGUGAUUUAUGGGAUAUCCUUUAUGCGUUACAAAAUGUGUUCUUUCGAAAGCCCACCCCCAACAAUUCAUAUGAGUCAUUUCCCUAAUUGAUAGUUGCCUGGAAACUCUAUGAGAGGGGCUGAAAAAAGACUAAUAAUGUACAAAAUAUAGUGUGUGUUGAUCAAGACCAGUAAAACGAAAUGUUACAGUUUCAUCGACUUGCUUGAGACUAUUGAUUUUGAAUUGAUAUGGGUUUACACACUACACUGUGCCUGCGAGGUCACUCAUAAUGAAGUAUGGAUUAACAAUGAUGUUUUAAAACAAUGCCAUAUCUUUUGUACAGAUAUCAGGUGUGAUGUCACCGCACCUAAUGCGUUUCAAAUGGCGCAAAUGUACAGCGCUACACCCAGAUUAUUAUAGGCUCUAUUUGAGUGCUGUCUCAAUUCCCAUCAUAAAAGCUAUUGAUUACUCCCUACUUACACUCUCACGCUUGUGCUCAGCCACUGGGAUAUUGGCAUUAAUUUCUCCAAGUCAGUGCCUUCAGUGCUGGUCAUUUGAGGUCUUUCUGAGGUACUGUGGAUGCUAGGAGACCUUUUGGUGCUCUUUGAUGUACUUUUUAGGACAUAAAUGGAA
rnacentral:lncRNA from 1 species